AUGGAAAUGGUUCUUGUCAUGACUACAGAGCCUGGAUUUGGAGGACAAAAAUUCAUGCCAGAGAUGAUGGAAAAGGUUCAAAUACUGAGGAAGAAGUAUCCAUUACUUGACAUAGAGGUUGAUGGUGGAUUGGGGCCUUCAACCAUAGACACAGCUGCAUCAGCAGGAGCGAAUUGCAUUGUUGCUGGAAGUUCAGUGUUUGGAGCCCCUGAGCCAGCUCAAGUUAUAUCCUUACUGAGGAAUUCUCUACAGAAAGCACAGCAAACAAAGUAA